CUUCCUUGCUCCAAUUCUUCACCUUCCUUUUGCGGCCCAUACCCAUUCAUCCUUCUCAGCUUCUGCUCUUGCUGUUCUGUAUUAGCCACUCCUUAGCCUGGAUCCAUGAAAGAUGCCACCAGAUGGAUUAUUUCUUUCAGUAAAGAAGGUGACCUUGGAGCUAUUCUGUAGCUGCAAGAAGAUAAAGAUAUUUCCUGGUUGGAGAUUUUCUAUUUGGCAGGCUUACCUCAGUAUCUUGACACUGACCUUUGUGAGGAAGGACUUUUUUUCCAAUGCGGAAAAUGAGUCAUUAGUAUAUGAAAGAAAUAUUCUUUAGAAUAUAUUUGCUCAAGGA